GAUGAAGAACGUAGCGAAUUGCGAUAAGUAAUGUGAAUUGCAGAUUUUCAGUGAAUCAUCGAAUCUUUGAACGCAUCUUGCGCUCCUUGGUAUUCCGAGGAGCAUGCCUGUUUGAGUGUCAUUAAAGUUCUCAACCACGUACUUACAUAUGUGGCUUGGAUGUGGGGGUUUGCAGGCUUUCUCUGAGGGUCUGCUCCUCUGAAAUGCAUUAGUGGUAUUCCUGAGCUUUACUACAGAUGUGAUAAUUUAUCUACAUCCCAAAAGUAUGCUUCAACAACACCGCUCCUAACAAGCGAAAGCACAUUUCGAUGAAUUUGACCUCACAUCAGGUAGGACUACCCGCUGAACUUAAGCAUAUCAAUAAGCCGGAGGA
rnacentral:misc_RNA from 1 species